rnacentral:rRNA from 1 species
UACGUAGGGUGCGAGCGUUGUCCGGAAUUACUGGGCGUAAAGAGCUCGUAGUUGGUUUGUCGCGUUGUUCGUGAAAACCGGGGGCUUAACCCUCGGCGUGCGGGCGAUACGGGCAGACUUGAGUACUGCAGGGGAGACUGGAAUUCCUGGUGUAGCGGUGGAAUGCGCAGAUAUCAGGAGGAACACCGGUGGCGAAGGCGGGUCUCUGGGCAGUAACUGACGCUGAGGAGCGAAAGCGUGGGGAGCGAACAGG